AGGAUGGAUAAAUUAAGUUCAGUGACAUAAAGACAAACGCUUCAUUAACCAAUAACUUCCUUUAAUCGAGAGAGAUUUCUUUACAGAAUGCAAUGAGCCCAAUAAUAUUUAAUUUGAGAAGAUAAAUACCUUAUGAUUUCUUUACAAAAAAUUUCUUCGUUUUACAGUACAAAUCAAGACAAUAUCACUCGACGUCGUUUAUCCUUAUUUUCUCUUAUGCACUCGUCGAUUCUCACGAUUCUUUUCUUUUUCUUCUUGAUUUUAGGUUGCAUACAUUUCAGCUCGAUGUUUGCCUUCUUGUUUUUAUUUAUUUAUUUACACCCCACCAAAACUUGCUGUAGUGUACAGAUCCAAACAUCGACUUCCCUACUCUCUCGAGUCCCAAAGAUGACUGCUCUUGCGUGUGAGCCCGGGAAAACAAACUAACCCUCUUCUUCACUUUUUUCCAGGGAAGAACAAGAUUCGCUUUCUUCAUUUAUUGUUUUGAAGAGAAGCAAUUGCGGUUUCCCCAUUGUGCGGACGGUGGAUUUAGCUCAUUAUAAAUAAGAUAUGUAUAUUUACAUUUAAAUUGAUUAUUCUUCUCAUGUGUCGUUUUCCCAUUCAAAUUUCUUUCCCUAUUUAUUUUAUAAAUCAGAAAUUUUCAGAUAAGAGAAGACAUUCUACAACUGACUCGAAUUUCGUAUCUUCCACAAGGAUCGGUUUUCAGACUUUUGGUUAUAAAAUCUUGAAUAUUCGAUUAUAAAUUUUAUCCAAAAAAUGUCAUUAUGAAUGAAAAUAUUGAUAUUAAGAUGAUUAUUCAAAAAUAAGAUUCAAAUUUAAAAAACAACUUUUAUAGUAAAUGAAUUGUCUUGUCCCACUAGUGGGGACAAGACAAUUCAUUUAAGCUAGAGUAAUUCCGGGAGUGAUGCCGCACUGGGAGAGAUGCCGCACAUUUGAUAAUUCUGAAUGUAGGCCACAAAGAAGGGCUAGUGUCGCUCACAUGGGUUCAGUGUAAAGCGAAAAGUUAGGUGACAGUUUAAAACGUAAAUUAUUCGCCAUAUUUUUGAUGCGUUAGCUAUUUUUCGUGGUAAGUUCAAAUUUUGUGUCAAUAAUUGUAUACUCUAGGUACCUUCUUGCAUCAUAACGAAAAGUUUGUAGAUUUCUAGCUGUUUUUUUUCUGAUAUAUCAUACGAAUUAGAACUUCGACAAAGCAUUGUGAUGUAGGCAGCCAUGUUGGUGAAAUCACGUGAAAGGAGAGAGGCGUAGCGUCUCUCCCAGGAAAUUGGGAGAGAUGCCACAUCAUGAACAGAUGCCAACUAGAAAGACGCAAACAUUUAUAUUCAUAAUUUCAACUCCUAGAGC
rnacentral:lncRNA from 1 species